UACUAGCUUUGUUGCUUUGUGCCUCCA
rnacentral:piRNA from 1 species